rnacentral:rRNA from 1 species
GAUGAACGCCGGCGGCGUGCCUAACACAUGCAAGUCGAACGGAGCUGCUUUGAUGAAAUUUUCGGAUGGAUUUAAAACAGCUUAGUGGCGGACGGGUGAGUAACGCGUGGGUAACCUGCCUCACACUGGGGGAUAACAGUUAGAAAUAGCUGCUAAUACCGCGUAAGCGCACAGUUCCGCAUGGAACAGUGUGAAAAACUCCGGUGGUGUGAGAUGGACCCGCGUCUGAUUAGCCAGUUGGCGGGGUAACGGCCCACCAAAGCGACGAUCAGUAGCCGGCCUGAGAGGGUGAACGGCCACAUUGGGACUGAGACACGGCCCAAACUCCUACGGGAGGCAGCAGUGGGGAAUAUUGCACAAUGGGGGAAACCCUGAUGCAGCGACGCCGCGUGAGUGAAGAAGUAUUUCGGUAUGUAAAGCUCUAUCAGCAGGGAAGAAAGUGACGGUACCUGAAUAAGAAGCCCCGGCUAACUACGUGCCAGCCGCCGCCGUAA